rnacentral:rRNA from 1 species
GUGGGGAAUUUUGGACAAUGGGGGCAACCCUGAUCCAGCCAUGCCGCGUGAGUGAAGAAGGCCUUCGGGUUGUAAAGCUCUUUUGUCUGGGAAGAAAAGGCGUCGGUUAAUACCUGGCGUUCUUGACGGUACCGGAAGAAUAAGCACCGGCUAACUACGUGCCAGCAGCCGCGGUAAUACGUAGGGUGCGAGCGUUAAUCGGAAUUACUGGGCGUAAAGCGUGCGCAGGCGGUUCGUGAAGUCCGAUGUGAAAGCCCUGGGCUUAACCUAGGAAUGGCAUUGGAAACUGGCGGGCUAGAGUGCGGCAGAGGGGGGUGGAAUUCCUGGUGUAGCAGUGAAAUGCGUAGAGAUCAGGAGGAACACCGAUGGCGAAGGCAGCCCCCUGGGUUGACACUGACGCUCAGGCACGAAAGCGUGGGGAGCAAACAGGAUUAGAAACCCCAGUAGUCC